rnacentral:rRNA from 1 species
GAUGAACGCUGGCGGCGUGCCUAAUACAUGCAAGUCGAGCGAACAGACGAGGAGCUUGCUCCUUCGACGUUAGCGGCGGACGGGUGAGUAACACGUAGGUAACCUACCUAUAAGACUGGGAUAACUUCGGGAAACCGGAGCUAAUACCGGAUAAUAUUUCGAACCGCAGGGUUCGUUAGUGAAAGAUGGCUUUGCUAUCACUUAUAGAUGGACCUGCGCCGUAUUAGCUAGUUGGUAAGGUAACGGCUUACCAAGGCAACGAUACGUAGCCGACCUGAGAGGGUGAUCGGCCACACUGGAACUGAGACACGGUCCAGACUCCUACGGGAGGCAGCAGUAGGGAAUCUUCCGCAAUGGGCGAAAGCCUGACGGAGCAACGCCGCGUGAGUGAUGAAGGUCUUCGGAUCGUAAAACUCUGUUAUUAGGGAAGAACAAACGUGUAAGUAACUGUGCACGUCUUGACGGUACCUAAUCAGAAAGCCACGGCUAACUACGUG